rnacentral:rRNA from 1 species
AUUGAACGCUGGCGGCAGGCCUAACACAUGCAAGUCGAACGAGUGGCGGACGGGUGAGUAAUGUCUGGGAAACUGCCUGAUGGAGGGGGAUAACUACUGGAAACGGUAGCUAAUACCGCAUACCAUCAGAUGUGCCCAGAUGGGAUUAGCUAGUUGGUGGGGUACAGGCCUACCAAGGCGAAGAUCCGUACCUGGUCUGAGAGGAUGAGCAGCCACACGGGAACUGAUACACGGUCCAGACUCCUACGAGAGGCAGCAGUGGGGAAUAUUGGACAAUGGGCGGAAGCCUGAUGCAGCCAUGCCGCGUGUGUGAAGAAGGUCUUCGGAUUGUAAAGUACUUUCAGCGGGGAGGCGUUACCCGCAGAAGAAGCACCGGCUAACUCCGUGCCAGCAGCCGCGGUAAUAC